AUUUUUUUUUCUAAAUAUGAUUGGCACAUAUUGAAAGAAAAGCACAAAAUCAUGGAAAAAGACCUGCAUUAUAAGAAGUUUAAAGCAUGAACAACAGUUGGCAUUGAGAAGGAGGUUGCUUGGUAUGCUGUUGAAACCCCUUGAAAAAGGGGUUCUAAUAGUUUGCAAAAGAAACAAAUGAGAAACACAAACAUUUAUCAAAAUCUCACUCCAUAAUAUUAAAAAUGGAGGAAGUUCAUACAGUAAAGCUUAUACAAUUAAUUCAACUCUUCAUUAGAUAGAGAAGGGUUUAAAAAUGAUAGACAGGAAAAUAUCACCUUUGUUUCUUGAAGCUUCAUGAGAUAGAGCUGCUACAAUGCGAAUGUGGGUUGCACCAUGUAUGCAAUAUGUACUAUUUAUAGAUAGUUUUCCACCAAAAUUUAGUUUCAAAAUUAUGUACUUGUUGAACACCAUGCUUUGCUUCUACUGUAAGUUUGGAAAUUAAUGUAUC